rnacentral:rRNA from 1 species
GACGAACGCUGGCGGCGUGCUUAACACAUGCAAGUCGAACGGAAAGGCCCUGCUUUUGUGGGGUGCUCGUGUGGCGAACGGGUGAGUAACACGUGAGUAACCUGCCCUUGACUUUGGGAUAACUUCAGGAAACUGGGGCUAAUACCGGAUAGGAGCUCCUGCUGCAUGGUGGGGGUUGGAAAGUUUCGGCGGUUGGGGAUGGACGGGCGGCUUAUCAGCUUGUUGGUGGGGUAGUGGCUUACCAAGGCUUCGACGGGUAGCCGGCCUGAGAGGGUGACCGGGCACAAUGCGACUGAGAGAGGGAGCAGUCGCGUAUGGGAGGCAGCGGGGGGGAACAUUACACAGUGGGCGCGAGCGUGAGGCGGAGACGUUGGGGGCGUGAUGACGUCCUUCGGGUUAUAAACCGCUGUCGCCUGUGACGAAGCGGGAGUGACGGUAACGGGUAAAGAAGCACCGGCUAACUACGUG